rnacentral:rRNA from 1 species
CACAUGCAAGUCGGACGGACUAAUUGGAGCAAGCCCCAAUUAGUUAGUGGCAGACGGGUGAGUAACACGUGGGAAUCUGCCUAUCAGUACGGAAUAACUUUUAGAAAUAAAAGCUAAUACCGUAUAUUCUCUACGGAGGAAAGAUUUAUCGCUGAUAGAUGAGCCCGCGUCAGAUUAGGUAGUUGGUGAGGUAACGGCUCACCAAGCCGACGAUCUGUAGCUGGUCUGAGAGGAUGAUCAGCCACACUGGGACUGAGACACGGCCCAGACUCCUACGGGAGGCAGCAGUGGGGAAUAUUGGACAAUGGGCGAAAGCCUGAUCCAGCAAUACCGAGUGAGUGAUGAAGGCCUUAGGGUUGUAAAGCUCUUUUAGCAAGGAAGAUAAUGACGUUAA